rnacentral:rRNA from 1 species
UAGAGUAGCAAUACUUUGAUGGCGACCGGCGCACGGGUGAGUAACACGUAUGCAACCUACCUACAUCAGGGGAAUAACCCGGAGAAAUUCGGACUAAUACCGCAUAAUACAGGGAUGCCGCAUGGUAAUAUUUGUUAAAGAUUUAUCGGAUGUAGAUGGGCAUGCGUUCCAUUAGCUAGUUGGUAAGGUAACGGCUUACCAAGGCAACGAUGGAUAGGGGAACUGAGAGGUUUGUCCCCCACACUGGAACUGAGACACGGACCAGACUCCUACGGGAGGCAGCAGUGAGGAAUAUUGGUCAAUGGACGAGAGUCUGAACCAGCCAAAUCGCGUGAAGGAAGACUGCCCUACGGGUUGUAAACUUCUUUUGUACAGGAAUAAAAGAAUCUACGUGUAGAUUAUUGCAUGUACUGUACGAAUAAGCAUCGGCUAACUCCGUGCCAGCAGCCGCGGUAAUACGGAGGAUGCGAGCGUUAUCCGGAUUUAUUGGGUUUAAAGGGUGCGCAGGCGGGAUUUUAAGUCAGCGGUGAAAUUUUCAGGCUCAACCUGAACACUGCCGUUGAAACUGGGAUUCUUGAGUAUGGAUGAAGUAGGCGGAAUUCGUUGUGUAGCGGUGACAUGCUUAGAUAUAACGAGGAACUCCGAUUGCGUAGGCAGCUUACUAAGCCAUAACUGACGCUCAAGCACGAAAGCGUGGGGAUCAAACAGGAUUAGAUACCCUGGUAGUCCACGCCGUAAACGAUGAUUACUAGUUGUUUGCGAUAUACCGUAAGUGACUAAGCGAAAGCGAUAAGUAAUCC